rnacentral:rRNA from 1 species
AUGAACGCUAGCUACAGGCUUAACACAUGCAAGUCGAGGGGCAGCAUGGUCUUAGCUUGCUAAGGCCGAUGGCGACCGGCGCACGGGUGAGUAACACGUAUCCAACCUGCCGUCUACUCUUGGACAGCCUUCUGAAAGGAAGAUUAAUACAAGAUGGCAUCAUGAGUCCGCAUGUUCACAUGAUUAAAGGUAUUCCGGUAGACGAUGGGGGUGCGUUCCAUUAGAUAGUAGGCGGGGUAACGGCCCACCUAGUCUUCGAUGGAUAGGGGUUCUGAGAGGAAGGUCCCCCACAUUGGAACUGAGACACGGUCCAAACUCCUACGGGAGGCAGCAGUGAGGAAUAUUGGUCAAUGGGCGAGAGCCUGAACCAGCCAAGUAGCGUGAAGGAUGACUGCCCUAUGGGUUGUAAACUUCUUUUAUAAAGGAAUAAAGUCGGGUAUGGAUACCCGUUUGCAUGUACUUUAUGAAUAAGGAUCGGCUAACUCCGUGCCAGCAGCCGCGGUAAUACGGAGGAUCCGAGCGUUAUCCGGAUUUAUUGGGUUUAAAGGGAGCGUAGAUGGAUGUUUAAGUCAGUUGUGAAAGUUUGCGGCUCAACCGUAAAAUUGCAGUUGAUACUGGAUAUCUUGAGUGCAGUUGAGGCAGGCGGAAUUCGUGGUGUAGCGGUGAAAUGCUUAGAUAUCACGAAGAACUCCGAUUGCGAAGGCAGCCUGCUAAGCUGCAACUGACAUUGAGGCUCGAAAGUGUGGGUAUCAAACAGGAUUAGAUACCCUGGUAGUCCACACGGUAAACGAUGAAUACUCGCUGUUUGCGAUAUACUGCAAGCGGCCAAGCGAAAGCGUUAAGUAUUCCACCUGGGGAGUACGCCGGCAACGGUGAAACUCAAAGGAAUUGACGGGGGCCCGCACAAGCGGAGGAACAUGUGGUUUAAUUCGAUGAUACGCGAGGAACCUUACCCGGGCUUAAAUUGCAGAUGAAUUACGGUGAAAGCCGUAAGCCGCAAGGCAUCUGUGAAGGUGCUGCAUGGUUGUCGUCAGCUCGUGCCGUGAGGUGUCGGCUUAAGUGCCAUAACGAGCGCAACCCUUGUUGUCAGUUACUAACAGGUUCCGCUGAGGACUCUGACAAGACUGCCAUCGUAAGAUGUGAGGAAGGUGGGGAUGACGUCAAAUCAGCACGGCCCUUACGUCCGGGGCUACACACGUGUUACAAUGGGGGGUACAGAGGGCCGCUACCACGCGAGUGGAUGCCAAUCCCCAAAACCUCUCUCAGUUCGGACUGGAGUCUGCAACCCGACUCCACGAAGCUGGAUUCGCUAGUAAUCGCGCAUCAGCCACGGCGCGGUGAAUACGUUCCCGGGCCUUGUACACACCGCCCGUCAAGCCAUGGGAGCCGGGGGUACCUGAAGUGCGUAACCGCGAGGAGCGCCCUAGGGUAAAACUGGUGACUGGGGCU